rnacentral:misc_RNA from 1 species
UACGGAGGGUCCGAGCGUUAUCUGGAAUCACUGGGCUUAAAGGGUGCGUAGGCGGCUCAUCAAGUCAGGUGUGAAAUCCCACGGCUCAACCGUGGAACAGCGCUUGAAACUGGUGGGCUUGAGUAAGACAGGGGUGUCUGGAACUUCUGGUGGAGCGGUGAAAUGUGUUGAUAUCAGAAGGAACACCGGUGGCGAAAGCGGGACACUGGGUCUUAACUGACGCUGAGGCACGGAAGCCAGGGUAGCGAACGGG